rnacentral:rRNA from 1 species
UACCAGCACCCCGAGUGGUCGGGACGUUUAUUGGGCCUAAAGCAUCCGUAGCCGGUUCUACAAGUCUUCCGUUAAAUCCACCUGCUUAACAGGUGGGCUGCGGAGGAUACUAUAGAGCUAGGAGGCGGGAGAGGCAAGCGGUACUUAGUGGGUAGGGGUAAAAUCCGUUGAUCCAUUGAAGACCACCAGUGGCGAAGGCGGCUUGCCAGAACGCACUCGACGGUGAGGGAUGAAAGCUGGGGGAGCAAACCGG